AGCUCCAAUAGCGUAUAUUAAAGUUGUUGCAGUUAAAAAGCUCGUAGUUGGAUUUGUGGUGGAUUGCCGAGUCCUCUUUUGGUACUUUGGCGCUCUGCCAUCCUUGGGUGGAACCUGUGUGGCAUUAGGUUGUUGUGCAGGGGAUGCUCAUCAUUUACUGUGAAAAAAUCAGCGCGUUCAAAGCAGGCUUAUGCCGUUGAAUGUAUUAGCAUGGAAUAAUAAGAUAGGACCUUGGUACUAUUUUGUUGGUUUGUGCACCGAGGUAAUGAUUAAUAGGGACAGUUGGGGGUAUUCGUAUUCCAUUGUCAGAGGUGAAAUUCUUGGAUUUCUGGAAGACGAACUACUGCGAAAGCAUUUACCAAGGAUGUUUUCA
rnacentral:rRNA from 1 species